UCUAAGUAUAAGCAAUUAUACAGCGAAACUGCGAAUGGCUCAUUAUAUAAGUUAUCGUUUAUUUGAUAGUACCUUACUACUUGGAUAACCGUGGUAAUUCUAGAGCUAAUACAUGCUAAAAAUCCCGACUUCGGAAGGGAUGUAUUUAUUAGAUUAAAAACCAAUGCCCUCUGGGCUCCUUGGUGAUUCAUAAUAACUUUUCGAAUCGCACGGCCUUGCGCCGGCGAUGGUUCAUUCAAAUUUCUUCCCUAUCAACUUUCGAUGUUUGGGUCUUGGCCAAACAUGGUCGCAACGGGUAACGGAGGGUUAGGGCUCGACCCCGGAGAAGGAGCCUGAGAAACGGCUACUACAUCCAAGGAAGGCAGCAGGCGCGCAAAUUACCCAAUCCCGAUUCGGGGAGGUAGUGACAAUAAAUACUGAUACAGGGCUCUUUUGGGUCUUGUAAUUGGAAUGAGUACAAUUUAAAUCUCUUAACGAGGAACANUUGGAGGGCAAGUCUGGUGCCAGCAGCCGCGGUAAUUCCAGCUCCAAUAGCGUAUAUUAAAGUUGUUGUGGUUAAAAAGCUCGUAAUUGAACCUUGGGCCUGGCUGGCCGGUCCGCCUCACCGCGUGCACUGGUCCGGCCGGGCCUUUCCCUCUGUGGAACCCCAUGCUCUUCACUGAGUGUGGCGGUGAAACAGGACUUUUACUUUGAAAAAAUUAGAGUGCUCCAGGCAGGCCUAUGCUCGAAUACAUUAGCAUGGAAUAAUAAAAUAGGACGCGUGGUUCUAUUUUGUUGGUUUCUAGGACCGCCGUAAUGAUUAAUAGGGACAGUCGGGGGCAUCAGUAUUCAAUUGUCAGAGGUGAAAUUCUUGGAUUUAUUGAAGACUAACUACUGCGAAAGCAUUUGCCAAGGAUGUUUUCAUUAAUCAGGAACGAAAGUUAGGGGAUCGAAGACGAUCAGAUACCGUCGUAGUCUUAACCAUAAACUAUG
rnacentral:rRNA from 1 species